GUGGGGAAUAUUGGACAAUGGGCGCAAGCCUGAUCCAGCCAUGCCGCGUGAGUGAUGAAGGCCCUAGGGUUGUAAAAUUCUUUCACCGGGGACGAUAAUGACGGUACCCGGAGAAGAAGCCCCGGCUAACUUCGUGCCAGCAGCCGCGGUAAUACGAAGGGGGCUAGCGUUGCUCGGAAUUACUGGGCGUAAAGGGCGCGUAGGCGGACAGUUUAGUCAGAGGUGAAAGCCCAGGGCUCAACCUUGGAAUUGCCUUUGAUACUGGCUGUCUUGAGUACGGGAGAGGUGAGUGGAACUCCGAGUGUAGAGGUGAAAUUCGUAGAUAUUCGGAAGAACACCAGUGGCGAAGGCGACUCACUGGCCCGUUACUGACGCUGAGGCGCGAAAGCGUGGGGAGCAAACAGGAUUAGAAACCCGGGUAGUCC
rnacentral:rRNA from 1 species